rnacentral:rRNA from 1 species
UACGUAGGGGGCAAGCGUUGUCCGGAUUUACUGGGCGUAAAGAGCGCGUAGGCGGAAGGUGAAGCGUGGCCUGAAAGCCCCCGGCUCAACCGGGGAGGGCGGCUGCGAACUGGCCUUCUUGAGGGCGAUAGAGGGGGGCGGAAUUCCUGGUGUAGCGGUGAAAUGCGUAGAGAUCAGGAGGAACACCCGUGGCGAAGGCGGCCCCCUGGGUCGGCCCUGACGCUGAGGCGCGAAAGCUAGGGGAGCAAACGGG